GUUGUCUUCUUUUUACAGUGGUCUACCCCACGGCUGCUGUUGUCAUGUCCUACGUUGCUUAAGGUAAUAAUUGCUGCUGCUGCUGGACUAGUGCUGUUGUGACUAUACGUGUACCUGUAACUACAUAACGUCAUCUACUCAGACGAUGUGGAACUGGGUAUACUUCAUAUUUGUAGAUAUUAUCACAUAUGAUUAAAAGAUUUUUAAUCUCAAGGUACAACCCAUAAACAUCAGAGUUUAUUUUCAUGAUUACCAACGUAAAAAACCUAUCCUUUUUUCUUUAAAUUGGAAGUCUCAAUUUAAAAUGAAGAUGCUUGUCUUUCUUUAAAAAUAGUAUUUACAUUCAUGGCAAUGACAGCCUGUUGAAGGCUUGAAUUUACCCUGAUUAGUCUCAGAUGUUCAUGAGUUCAAAAGGGCUUUUUUCCAAUGGGAAAAAUACCUUCUGUAUCACUAUGGCCAACCUGAGUUAAAUAAUUUUGUCCAAUAUUAUGUAUCACAUUGUAUAAAUCUCCACAAUGGAUCAAGAGGGGUUUUAAAUUUUUAUUUAUUUUUUAAUUUAUUUUGGAGCUUUUUCAGUUUCUGUGGUAUGGAAGAAGCUUUUCUGAAUUACUUCCAGUGGAAUUUCUAUUUGUGAGAUGCAAACAUCAUUAUUGUCCUCGUUUGUGUUACUUCAUCUAAAGCUGAGAGACUGAGUUAAAAAAGCAGAAAAAAGUUUCUGUCUUCCGGUUUACAAACAAAACCCCAAACAGACAACAAAAAGAUCAGCUGAAUCUGAAAAUUAAAGAAUAUCUGGAUGUAUUUACAAAGAUAUUCUUGCAUGUAUGGCUGCUUUCCAGAAGUGCCUCGGCAUCUUACUGGCGCCGAUUUCGACAGAGACGAAGCAGCUGGCCUCCUGCAGUAUUUCUGAAAUCCCAGAAGGUAAUGAUCUGCUUUAUUAGGCACCAAAUACCUUUGGAAAUCAGGCCCACGAUGACCAGAAGCAAUCUGUCAGUUCGCUAACUACAAUUAAUAUUUCUUUUGUGUAAUAAACCAGUUUUAAAUACAAAGCAUAGUUUAAAAACUUAAUUUUUUUCCCCUGUGUAAACAGCAGAUAAAAGGUCAUUUAUUUUACCUGCAGAAACAAUUUUAACCAGCUCUUUUUGUGCAUUCUUAAAAUUUUAGUUCUCACUUUCGUCUGAAUACUGCUCAUAAAAAUUCAAGACAAAAAUUGGCACCAGAAAAUGCGCCCAUCACUAUGAUCUGACGUAAAUAUAUAUGUAUAACUAAUCAUCUCAGUAAAGGUAUGUGGGACAGAUGAAAAAAACGUGAACAGAUAUUGUAAAAAUACCACGUUUAGCAUAACUAUAGCAGAAGUUGCCAAUCAAUGAAAAUUAAACUUUACUCAGGGAAUAACCAAGAGGUCUACUAUGAUGGUGCCCGUAGGUAGAGCUGGCGGGAUGAAGUCCUGCUGGUCAUUUGCAGGGAUGCUGGGUGCUUCUCUGACCUGCAAACAGGGUGAAAGAUGGUCCCCUCGCCUACAGAGGGGUGACGGCUCUUCAGGGAAGGGCACACGGGCAGCCCAGGGCGUGAUCUUCGGGGACGGAGCGAUGCCGACAGCGGCAGUGUUGGAAAGCCUCAUCAGGACGAAGGUGGGACCCGAGAGGGAUGAUUUCACAGCACAGGUCACGUAUCACUGUUGCAGGGAAAACUUCCUCCAAGAGAGAAAGAAGAGAUGUGCCAACGCUUACAGGGAUGGAAAGCAGCACAAACCUGCUGGUGGUUAACGCAGGGCGGUCGCCCACCAAAUCCCUGUCUCUCGUCACCUCCUCCCUCCUGCCAGCAUCCUGGUGCUGCUCCCAGCGCGAUCCCAGUGCCUCCUCCCAGUCCUCGCCCAAGGCUUGCUGAAACCACUGGAAAUAUUCCUGCCGACUUCAAGAGCCUUUUCCUUCCCCACGUACAUAUCCAAGGGCUGUAGCCUCUGAAUCUGUAAUAUUUCAUCUAUUAUCCUGCAUCUUUUUUUUAAAGGGAUGGGGUGGAAGAGAACCCUUAUUCUGCAUGAAAGCCCAAAGGGCUGUAAAGAAUUAUUCUCUUCGCCAGGUCAUGCCCUGAUUUCCCUCAGUCUUAAAAUCAGCCUUUCUCACACUUCUCUCGCAGCUUCGUUACAUUCUGGAAAAAAAGAUGACUUGCUUCCCUGAUAUAGCAGAGGCUGUUUAUCCCCAAAAUGUUUUACACAAAAUGUUUCCAUUCACGUAACACAAUUUGUACACACAGAGGCUGUAGUAUACACAGGCAUAUACACAGGCCAAUUUUCAAUUUUUAGCUUCAAAAGGGACUUUCUUGCCAGUACAUCACAUGGGAUUUUUUUUCAAUACUUUAUUCUUAGUGACAUCUUUUGGGGGGGGCACGGAAAGGUAAAAAUCAAGAAACAUUUACUAUUUAUACAAAUACUCCAUGCUUAUUGCUCAUAAGGAGCAAUUUAAAAUGACAAAUCACUAUUCUAUAAAUCAGAUAUAGACAGACAACUUACUGGACUCCUUCCAAGAUACACUGAGACGUGCACCAAAAUAUCAGAGUGUAAUUACUUUCAUUAUGUAUUCCAAUUAAUCUGAAAACAACUGAGACUGUAAAGUUCGCAUCCUGCUAAUUUUUACUGACAUAAACCCCAAAAUUAUUUAUAGAAUUGGUUGUCCUCUGUUUACUUGAUUAAAAUAUGGACUAAUCAGGCACUGCUUUUCUAGAAAUAGUUUUUCAGUAUGGUAAUUUGCCAUCUGAAAUUUUCUUUAUUUAGCCAAAACACAAGUGCAUAUUUUAAUUCAUGGCAAUAUUUUAAACUUACGUCUGUUUUAGAACCAGUGACUUAACUAAAAAAAUUCCUAAACUAAAAGACCAUUUUUUAACGUGUAUCUGAAAAGUAGAGUCUCUUGUGUGAACCCAUGUUCUACUUCUGAUGUUCCCGAGGCGUUUUGUUGUUUGACCACAGCCCUUUUCCAAUAAGCAUAAGCAAUUAUUUUAAGUUGAAAAUUAUUUUGAUAAUGAACUUAUCUUCACCUUUGACAUCAUUGCUUCAGUGGGGGAAAGGAUAUACUGCAGUUGUGGGCAUAUAACCAUUUCUGACUCUGUAUUGUCAAUAAUUUAGACGUUCUUCUUUGUCUUUCAAAAGCAAUUGUUUAUCUGUAUUAUUUGUUUCAAAAAGUGCUUCCUUCUUGCUUUAAAAUGGAGAUUCAUUUUUGCAUGUCUGGAGUUCUCCAUAAAGGGAAAAGAAAUUGAAUUAAUCUUAAAAUGUUGUAAGACAUUAAAAACAUUAGCUAAUUGAAUACUACUGUGUAGCACAUUUUAAUAAAAAACCUUUAGCUCUCAUAAAGGAUUGGGAAGUUAAAGGAAAAAGCUAAUAUUCACAGCAGAGGCAGCAAGUUGAAGAAUGGGGCGUUCCUGCCCUAAUGGCUGCCGGGGAUGGAUGUGAUGCUGCCGUUCAGAUCAGACCAAGAACUCUUCUCCACCCUUGGGGCAGUUUGGCGGGUGCGGACUUGCACGGAGGUUGAACGCGGUGUGCGGGCUCGUGAUGGCCCUGCUUUGGUCGGUUGGUUCUUCUUGGACAAGCACUACCUGCCCCGAGAAGACCACUGAAGACAAGGACGUCCUGCGCAGCAGGGCCCAGAGCUCUUCUAUGGAGAGAGGAAGGGUAUUGCUUUUGCCUACUCCUAAUCCCACACUUUCCCAAACACUGAAUUAAUUAAGUUUGUAAUCCUCUCUUCCUCUAUCAGUUUAAGUCUUCUCUUCUGACCUCGUUCCUCCCUCCUGGCCCCUUCUUCAUUGGCACCAUGCUCCAUUCAGGGCUUAAUUACUCCACCGCACUUUAUGUUCCCUAGUUUGAAGCCACUGCUUUUUGUUUUGUCAUUUUCUGGUAAUGCGAAUAAUCCCCUUCCUUUGAAGGUAUUUAUAUUCUGUGAUCUUGUCUCCCCUGAGCUUUCUCUUUGGCAGACUGUAGAAACUGAGUUUCUUCUGUCUAACCUAACUCACUAGAUACCUUUUAAUGUUAUUUUCUCUGUGUGUGUGUCUUCUGUAGUUUCACGGCACUUCCGAGCUGUGGGGAGCAGAGUGGACCCAAAACAAGGUCCCAGCAUGCUUACCUAUAUAAAGCACUCUGUAACCCAUAUUACCUUUACAAAAUAACAGUGUACAAUCACUCAUCCCUCCUGAACUUUUUCUCCAACUCUUAACGUGAAGGAAAGUAUCAAGGAAAAGGGAUAUCCAUUAACCUAUCAACAAUUUGUCGAUUUAAAAUCUGUGCCCAGCCUAAAACCCAUAAGGCUAUGAUUCACCAUGCAAAGCAGUACUGAAACUGGAUUACAGCUGAGAGUCCUUUUGGCUGAGCCUUAUCUAAACUGCACUGGCCGAAUACAUUGAUUCUAAUGAAGUUAUUCAUGGCUUGCAUUGACUGACUUAAAGCCUUUGUCUUUCAUACGUAAAUUUAUUCUUCCAGACGUAAGGUAGAUGGAAAGUCUUGUGAUUAGCUGCACUGAGGAUACAUUAGAGAAGAUAACAACCAGAAGUGCCCUGGCUCCCUCAUGUCCUGGAUCCUUCUCAGCAAGGGACUGUGUUAUAAUUUACAGAGUGACUUAAUUGAAGAAGCUAUGGAAGUACAGUGAUCAGAAAAAUUUACAGUGGUUUCUGAUGUACGAAGGUUUCUCCGUAAGAGGUAAGCAGCGUGGAUCUUGCCUAGUACUUGCAGGAGAGACCACCUGGGAAUCCCACAAGGUGCAGUAGGCAUAGUACGAGAAGUCACGGCUAACCGUCUGACACGCAGGAAGCCACAGCAGACAAAUAAACUGGAAAACACCAUUUGGCUGUAACACAGGACCUCAGGGGACAGGUAGGGAAAAGAUGAAGGGAGCACAGCAGGUAAAUUCAUGUUUGCAAAACGAUCUUCUUCCAAGCCUGGAUCUCAUGUGGUAAAGCAGUUCAGGCUGUCCACAAGUGCCCCAUAGGCUUCAUGCAGGUUUCUGCGCAGGGAUGUGUUCAGUGUGAAGGUGGAACUCUAAAAUAUGGAUACCAGUAAUCAUUCUCAGUCUCUCUCUUCUAAAAUUAUAGACAUUUCUAACUGAGCAGAGUUGAAAUAUUCUUUACAUGCUAGUCUAAAUAGAUUCAGAUUUACUAUGGAAAAACGUACAGUAGCUUUUCCUUAUGUACAAGACCCCCAUGGAUUCCAAGACAAUGGGAUCAAAUUCCACAGCAGUGAUCUUUUAAUUGCAAGACAACAUUAAUUUAUUAGAACAUCUUGCAAUAAUAUUCCUUCCCAUCCUCCUCCUGGCCCAAGAAGAAUCCCACACAACCAAAGUUUGCAGUUAAAUGUAUUUGUUGACAUGACAUUUGUUAAUGAUUUUUCUGCCAUCCUUCACUUUGAAGAUAGCUUUUUCUUAAGAUUUCUGCACUGCCUGGCUUCAAUUCCUAAUCCUGCACAACGGAUGCACUGCACAAAAGCAGGUGUUUCUGUCAAACACUACCUGGCACGGUGGAGAAGGGCAGAACCGUGGGGUUGUAGGUCUGCGAUGGAGAGGAGCACAGGGCUGCAGCUCUACGGACCACAUCUCCAAGAUGUCCCAAGUGAAAAAUGCACGUUUGUGCUGUGCAUGGAAGAGCGGGACAGGGAUCCUUGAGCUUUCACCUUGCCAAGACAAGAGGUCCAUGCAGCAGGAGCUGCACUCAGCGUUGGUCCAUCAGCCUGAAUUGCUGGAUCUCUGCCUCGUCUUACAAAAACAGAGGACAGCAUCUCCUGCCUUAGCAGUAGACUCCAGUAACAGGAGACGCUGCUGUAACUGGAAGUAGCAAUUAAACUCGAUACUGGCAGUGCUACAUAGCAGGACUUCAAGUUUAAUAGCUCAAAAGUUAGGACAGUAAAAGUAAUCAUCAUUCACACAAAAGCACACAUCAAAAUGCAUUUCUUUGAAAAACUAAAGCAAUUAAUCUAAAAUCACCAGGACAGAAAAAAUAAUUAAAUCUAUAGCACUGAGUGAAAGGAAGUAUUGUCACUACUAUCAUAGUAUCAUAGGCUCACAGGAUAAUUCAGGCUGAGAAGAACCUCAAGAGGUCUCUAGUCCGACCUCCUGCUCAAAGCAGGGUCACCUCUGAGCCCAGACCAGGUUGCUCAGGGCUUUAUCCAGUUGGGUGCUGAAAAACUCCGGGGAUGGAGACUGCACAGCCUCUUCCACUGCCUGCUGGGGAAAAAGUAUUUCCUUUCAACCAAUCUGAAUGUCUCUCAUUUCAAUUUAUGCCUGUUGUCUCUUGUUCUCCUGCCAUGCACCACUGUGAAGAGCCCAGCUCCAUCUUCUUGCUAACCUCCCCACAGGUACUGGGGGGCUGCUGUUGGGUUCUCCAAAGUUUCCUCUCUUCCAGGCUGACCAAGUCGGUUCCUUCAGCCUCUCCAACCAGCCUGGGGGCCUCUGCUGAACUCACUCCAGUUUGUCCAUGUUGUUCUUGGCUCAGUAUCUAGAUGUGGUCUAACAGGUGCUGAGAAAUGGGGGAUAAUCCCUUCCCUCAAUCUGCUGGCUAAUGCAGCCCAGAAAUGUUCCCAGUCACUUCUUCUCCUUCACGUGCCCAGACGGGUACUCCAAGAGGAGUCACUGAAUGAUUUUCUGAGGGAACAAAGUGAAGCUGACCAGCCUGCAGUUCCCUGGGUUGGCCUUUGUACCUUUUUGAAGAUGGAUGAAACACUUGCCUUUUUUCUCCAGUUGUUGGAGACCCCACAAUGAUCUCCAUGACCUUCCAAAGAUGAUAGAGAGCAGCCUGGCAAGGGCAUCAGCCUGUUCUCCCAGCAACCUUGGAUGUAGCCCAUCUGGUCCCAUAGACUUGUAUGGGUGAAGUUCUCACAAGUAAUCCCUGACCUGACUCUCAUCCACUGCUGGCAGUUCUUCCCUUUGAACCCUGGGAGACCUUGUAACUGAAGACUACAGCAAAGAAGACACUGAGAACCUCACCCUUGUCUGUGUCUGCCAUCACAAUUCACUCACCCAGGCAGCAAUGGGCCCUUGUUUUCCUUCUUCAGCCUUUUAUCAUUAAUGUAGUGCCCUUCUUGUUGCCCUUGACAUCCCUUGCAAGUCUCAAUUCCAGCUGAGCGUUGGGUUUCCUGAUAUAAUUGCCUGGGCAAUGUUUCUAAACUUCUCCUUUGUAGCCUGUCCUUCUUCCACCUCCUGUAUACUGCUGUUCUGCAUUGGAGCUCUGCCAUGAGCCAAGCCAGCUCCUCUUACACCCACCCGUCUUCCAGAAUAUCAAGGUGGGCCCUGCCUGUCCUUGGAGGAUGCCAUCCUUAAAAGCUUGCCAGCUCUUCUGAGCAUCUUUCAGAGCUGCCCCAUGGCAUCCCACCUACCAAUUCCCCGAACAAGCAGCAGCCUCCUCGCCUGGAGCCCCAGGUCUGUGCUGCAGUCCUUUCUCACUCCUCACGGGGUCUUGGACCCCACUAUUGAGCGGUCACUACAACCAUGGAUACCACUGACUACCAUGUCCCCAACCAGCUCUUCCUUGUCAGUGAAUAGCAGGUGCUGGGGAGCAUCACCCUGCUUGGUCCACCCAAUACCUCUAUCAAGACGUUCUCCUUUGUUCCACAGUGAAACAUUAAAAAUAGGGAUUGAAAUGAUAAAAAUAUGAGCAAGGUUUACAAGUUUGCAUUCAGUAAACCAUCCUCUGUAUUUCAAGCCAUCUCUGAGUUUGAUCACAUGCCUAUUUUAUGCAUUAGCGGAAGAAAGAAAAAAGAAAACUUUUGUUUUAUGUCAAAGGAACAGAGCGGAAGGAGCGGAGUAGAAGAACGGACCUUUUUAAACUCUGGCUUACCACAUGAGAUCUUCAGCUAUUGCAAGGUCAGAAAGAACCCUGAAAGAUUCAUGGAUUGUCUUCUGGAAUGUGAGAACAACCAAUUAGGUCAAAUUACAUCUCUGUCAUAUAAUGCUGGAUCUAAUACUGAUCAAUAUAGGAUGCCUAGGGUUUGAAUAUUAGAAAGAAUACAAAUGAAGGAUGCUCUUGUGUGGAACGCCAUCUGGUACCCCAGGACAUACACGUCUCAUCUUCAGCUGUCAUUGAGUUUGGACUGUUGGGGGUGCAGACUGCACCUAAACCAGUCCUGGUAAUCCCAUCCUUUACAAACUCAUCUAAUUUCCUUUAGAGCUCAUUUAUAA